AUAUCAAUAAGCGGAGGAAAAGAAACCAACAGGGAUUGCCUUAGUAACGGCGAGUGAAGCGGCAACAGCUCAAAUUUGAAAUCUGACCCUUUCGGGGUCCGAGUUGUAAUUUGUAGAGGAGAUUUCGGCGUCGGCCUCCUGCCAAGUUCCUUGGAACAGGACGUCCCAGAGGGUGAGAGCCCCGUGUCGGCUCGAGUGACCUUCGCCAUGUGAAACUCCUUCGACGAGUCGAGUUGUUUGGGAAUGCAGCUCUAAGCGGGAGGUAAAUUUCUUCUAAAGCUAAAUAUUCGGUGUCUCCGAUAGCGAACAAGUAGAGUGAUCGAAAGAUGAAAAGCACUUUGGAAAGAGAGUUAAAAAGCACGUGAAAUUGUUGAAAGGGAAGCGCUUGCCCCCAGACUUGCCCGCAGUUGCUCAGCCCCCCGUCUGGGGGGUGUACUCUUCUGCGGGCGGGCCAGCGUCAGCUCUGGCGGCCGGAUAAAGGCCCGGGGAAUGUAGCUCCCUCCGGGGGGUGUUAUAGUCCCGGGCGCAAUGCGGUCAGCCGGGGUUGAGGAUCGCGUUCUGCUAGGAUGCUGGCGUAAUGGGUGCAAGCGACCCGUCUUGAAACACGGACCAAGGAGUCGACCAUAUAUGCGAGUGUUUGGGCGUUAACCCACACGCGUAAUGAAAGUGAACGGAGGUGGGAACCCGCAAGGGUGCACCAUCGACCGAUCCUGAUGUCUUCGGAUGGAUUUGAGUAAGAGCGUAUCUGGUCGGACCCGAAAGAUGGUGAACUAUACCUAAAUAGGGUGAAGCCAGAGGAAACUCUGGUGGAGGCUCGCAGCGGUUCUGACGUGCAAAUCGAUCGUCAAAUUCGGGUAUAGGGGCGAAAGACUAAUCGAACCAU
rnacentral:rRNA from 1 species